GCUUGAGAAGGAUGUUUCCAUUACAGCUUGGGCUGCUAAAAUAGCUGUUUUCUGAUGGCCAAUGGAGGCAGGGCAGCAGAAAUAUGACAAAGCAUUUAAAUAUUAAUGGAAGACUUGGAAUGGAGAUGUAUGACUGGGCAUGGCUCGUUCACAGGCAAAGCUGGUUCAAAAAACUCCAGAGACAGGGGUAGCACACAGCCCAGCCUUGGAGGUGAUGAAGAGAGAGGGCUGAUCCCCAGAAAGCACCGGUCUCCAUGGAGGAAGACACAACCAGGCUGGAGAAACCCAGGGAGAAAAACCAUCUUUGCAGCAGCACUCUGAACUGAAAAAAUAAUU